rnacentral:rRNA from 1 species
GGAGCUUGCUCCCUGAUGUUAGCGGCGGACGGGUGAGUAACACGUGGGUAACCUGCCUGUAAGACUGGGAUAACUCCGGGAAACCGGGGCUAAUACCGGAUGCUUGUUUGAACCGCAUGGUUCAAACAUAAAAGGUGGCUUCGGCUACCACUUACAGAUGGACCCGCGGCGCAUUAGCUAGUUGGUGAGGUAAUGGCUCACCAAGGCAACGAUGCGUAGCCGACCUGAGAGGGUGAUCGGCCACACUGGGACUGAGACACGGCCCAGACUCCUACGGGAGGCAGCAGUAGGGAAUCUUCCGCAAUGGACGAAAGUCUGACGGAGCAACGCCGCGUGAGUGAUGAAGGUUUUCGGAUCGUAAAGCUCUGUUGUUAGGGAAGAACAAGUACCGUUCGAAUAGGGCGGUACCUUGACGGUACCUAACCAGAAAGCCACGGCUAACUACGUGCCAGCAGCCGCGGUAAUACGUAGGUGGCAAGCGUUGUCCGGAAUUAUUGGGCGUAAAGGGCUCGCAGGCGGUUUCUUAAGUCUGAUGUGAAAGCCCCCGGCUCAACCGGGGAGGGUCAUUGGAAACUGG